UCCUGAUGGCUCACAUGAAGUUUCGUGCCGUUCCGACCUCGUUUGAUACGGUUAUGGUUAACCACACGGCCCCUCGGGCCCGACCCGAGCCCAGUCAACGUUUUGACCCGAUCAAAUCGGCCCGUGACCCGAAACGACCCUACUUGGGCCCUACAACAGCCACGUAAAGUUUCGGGAUGAUCCGACGUUCUUUCAUGGGGUUACGGACAAUCCACGCCAAACAAGCGUCACGGGCCGACCGAGCCGGGCCAACGGGCCCUCGGGACCCGAAAACUGAAUUUUUUUUCAUCCAAACCCAUUAAAACACGUUACCGAGGUCUCACGCAAAAUUUCAUGCCAAUCCGACGUCGUUUGAUGGGGUUUUGAGAUAUUAUGAUUCCUCAAAAAUUUAAUGUCUGUUCCUGUCACUUAGCUUUUUGUGCAAAAUGUAUAUAUAGGGGAGGGGUGGGUGUUGAGCAGCCCAUGCCCGGGCAAGGCAUGCCAGCGCCCAAGCCAAAGGAGGCUGGUGGCGUGCGUAUAACAGCUCAAAUGCCCCAACGAUGACCGAGAACAAGCGCCCAUCUCCCCUCCUUCCCCCCCACCAAGCGCCCCUCCCCCCCAUGUUGCCUGCCCACUCUCACAGCUACUCGUGAUUUCAUGCCCAGCGACUAGUGAAUGUGCCUCGACGACCAGCAAACCUCGAAAAUUAUGAUUCCUCGUAAAAUUAAUGUCUGUUCCUGUCACUUUACUUUUUGUGCAAAAUGUAUAUAUAGGGGAGACCAGGGGCUUGAGCAACCCCUAUGCCCAAGCAAGGGUCAGAUGGAAGCACACGAGACGCGAGGUUUAAAGCCUAUACAAGCAAGGCGUCUGUCUCCCCAAGCCCCAUUGCCUAUAAAACAAGCCCGAUGCCUUGUAAAUGCCCCACACGAUGCCUAUAAACGACAACGAUGUUUGCUAGUUAAUCGAUCGACGCCCCACACCUUGCAGCAUGUUGCCUAGUAAACAAGCCAUGCUGCCUUGGAAGCGCCCCACAUCAUGGCAUGUUGCCUAGCACGCUGCCCUUGUUUCCAGCACGGCGACCUGAAAGCGUGGCCUGACGACGUGCUUGCCUUCGAAAAUUAUGAUUCCUCAAAAAAUUAAUGUCUGUUCCUGUCACUUUACUUUUUGU
rnacentral:rRNA from 1 species